GAAAUGCGAUACGUAGUGUGAAUUGCAGAAGUCUGUGAAUCAUCGAAAUUUUGAACGCAAGUUGCGCCGUUUUACUGACGGCAUACCUGUCUGAGCGUUGGUAACAACAAAACUCACAAAAACGUGGCGCACUCGUGGCUUCACGUUUUGUGGACAUGAGUUUACGGUUCAGCUGUUGACUUGAAAAGCAUUCGUGUGUGGUCAGGAAAAGAGUGAGGUGUGAUGAUUCAUCGUCAUCACCGCUCUUUAUUCUGGGUGUUUUCAGGUGCCAUUACGUGCACAUUCCAUGUAAACAUGCUAGGUAAAGAGAUUGAACACGACUAUUCGUGAACACAUGCGUAAUCGGCGGCGGCGGCAGCAGAUGUGCCAUCGCUGUUCUGAAAAAAUCAACCUCAGAUCAGGUAAGACUACCCGCUGAACUUAA
rnacentral:misc_RNA from 1 species